CAAAGUAUAAAAUUUAAUUUACAGUGACACGUGGGCCCACAAACGACCAAAAGUUUUAAAAGCAGUAAACUCAUAGUUUUUGAGGAUGCAAGUCCAACUGUAGCCCUCAACAAAGUGAGCUAUCUACUAACUAUCCUGAGCUUGAAAUGGGUGGAAAAGAGGGUGGUGAGAUUAUAUAAUCCCAGUGAGUAAACAAAUACCAUCAAAAAUAUCUAAAGCUGAGUAAAUGGAGACAAAUAAAAUAAUUUAACAUACUGUAAUUCAUCACCUUUCAACUCAUUUCAAUCAAAUAAAAUCAAUUCAUAUAAAUUGAGUAAUCAACAUGGCUUAUGAAUUUCUUAAAACUUUGGCUCGUGCCAAAAUCAUUUUCAUACUUAGUUAUUAGGGAUACCUUGGCCAAGGGCUAUCCUAACCGAGACCGCCAAGGCUGUUAAAAAGUUAUGUACGCAUAAAUCAUGUUUUUAUUUUGAAAACAUAGCCGUUCCUUGGCGUUGGCUGAGUUCACCCUCACGUGGUGGUUUGGCGUGAAGUGAACUCUAAAGUGUUAACCUCAAGAGUUAUCCAACCGCGCCUCUCAUACUAAGGUAUGAAUAUAAUAGGAUUACCGUGCCCCUCUAAUAGGCUGAUCCACGGAACCCGUCCACUGCAGCGACUAAUUUAUAACCCACCAAUUUAAUAAAAUUUGCGAUAGCAUGACAUGGCAAUUAUUUUAUUUUACAGCCUCUCAAGGCAAAUUAACAGUUCAUACAUUUUCAACACAUUUACCAAAUCAACCAUUCAUGCCAAUAUUAUCAUAAGCCAUUCAAUUCAAACCAUGAUUUAUAACACAACAAUUAGUCUCUAAUUACUCCAUUUUCCAAAACCAUCAUUCAAUUUCAAGACAAUUUUAUAAAAUCAUUUCAUUUAAUCACAUUUUGCUUAUAAAACAUAAAGAUUUGCCAUUUAAACUCAUUUUCCAUAAAAACCACUUUAGAUAAUUAAGACGAUAGUAAGGUUACUCACAGUAAUGGGAAUCGAAUUUUGAGUACUCCGAUUCUUGAUCCUCGGGUACUAUCUCUUUACUUUUGCCAAAAUGCUCACCACCUAGACAAUACACGACACAUAAUUCAAUAUACUAUGUCAUACCAUUAUAAAUCUAUUUCAGACUCUUUACUAAUGCAUUAAAUGAAAUGCAAAUUGUUCGGAUUAUCGUCUAAACACGAUAUUCUACACAAAUUCAAUUGUGUACCUAAAUAAAACGGUAUUGGCCUAAUUCGAUCUAUCUCUCGAUUAAUUGGCCAAUAUGUCCAAUUUAACUCCAAAUAAUUCCAUUUUUCUCCUAAUACUCCAAAUCAUCAAACACAAGUCAAAUAACAUAAAAUCUAGCAAAAUCAUCUUUAAAUUUUCUCUUGGAAAAUUCGGCCAUGAUGGGUGCAUCAAUACUAUGAUUUUUCCUACUUGAUUUUCUCACCAUAAUUCAUCAUUUCCUAACCAAUUCACUUGAAAUAAAAUCAAAAUCAUCAUCCACACUCUAUAUGGAAAAUUCGGCCAAUGAAAAAUCCAUGAAGAACAUGUGAUUUUUCUUACUUGUUUUCCUUCCAAACAUGAUAAAUAACUAUAAACACUAAAAUAUCUCAAAAUCUAACCAAAUAAAUCAUCAAAUCUUCUCUCUCUAAAUUCGGUCAGCCGUGAAUCCUUCAUGAUAUCUUGUGAUUCAACCAUGAAAAAUGCAAAAUAAUGCAUGGGAAAGGUAAUUCACAAGUCAAAAUCAAGAAAUUUUACCUUUGAUUGCUUGAUUACUUAAAUUUUCACACUUUUCCCUGGAAUUUUUCCACCUAGGGUUUGUGUUCUUUUUUUCUUCCUUUGUUCUUG
rnacentral:lncRNA from 1 species